AUCCAUCUGACGAGUCCCAAAUAGGACGACACACAUCCUGGAU
rnacentral:hammerhead_ribozyme from 1 species